CAAUUGGGCACGGUUCGAUUUAAGCAACAUGAAUAUUUUUGGUUUGUUGCCAAAACCGAACGGGCAUUGUAUUGUCGUGACCAAUUGAGUAAAUUUUCCUGUUUUAGAGAAAAAAAAUCUAAUGUUUUGAAGUACAGAGUCUGAAAACAAAAGCAUAUCUAUCACUUCCGGAACACGUUGAAGCGUUAUGUCGCAUUUAGAAGCUAGUAUUGAUGUGAGUAAUAAGCAUAAAAAUAUGAGCAUAAAAAUAUGAUAAACUCAUUUAAAAAACUAGUAGAUCUAUCCCGGUAGAAACAAUAAUGUGACAAGAAUUGGGUAAUGUUCUUCAACUUCCUUCGCUUAAUUACAAUUAACUCAAGAGCGGUCGCGCAUUUAGCCAUCGCCAGCACCACCCCGCUCGAGCUGUUUAUGUAAAGCGAGCUUUUUACUUGGUGCGUGUAGUCGGUACACGUAUGCGACUGAUCCUGGGUUAAACCACCUCAAAAAAGUAAGUACAAUCUAAUUUCAUUAAAAGUCGUUUAAUAGAAGAACGUUCUUAAAAAAGAAAAUUUACACUGUUUUCUCGUUAAGAAAUUUCUCAAUGAUGGGUUGAUUAUGGGCAAGGAAGCAAGCUGUUUUAUUCAAACAAUGUUGGCUAAGCAGUGUUUAGGGAGUAAAAAACGGACCAAAACGUCAGGAAAAUAAAAAAAAACUAGCGUUUUGAAUUCCCUAAAAAUUGCAUGGCCAUAAUUGUUUGAAUAACAUAAUCUCAGUCAAAGCCAGCUGCUUUAUAUAUUCUAUGAAACUUGCUAAAGGCCUUCAUGGGAGCCAACUGACGACUUAUUAAAACAUCCAGGAAAAAACCAGUUAUGUCCUAUGAUUACCUGUAGGAACAAUAUUGAUUGCAUUUACGAUUUCAAACUUAAAUCUUGCUUAAAUCAAACUUAAGGCUUGCAAUCUCUUAUUGACAGAAUGGCAAUGCAUUUAUUUUUCAGAUAAAAAUAGCAAUAAUGACUCAAUAAAAUAUUUGAAAUAAUAGAAAUUUGAUCCCCUUAUUCACCCUAGGAAUGACCUUUUGCAAAACAAGUGAGGGUAUAGAAAAUACUAGGCUAGCCAGAAACUGCUCUGCGAUGCAUCAGGCAAUUUAGAGGUUUUCGUGAGGAAUAAAAAUUGAACUGAAAAUUCACAACACAAAUCCUCAAACGAUUCGAGUGGGAGUGCAUUGAAAAGCGAGGAUAUUUUUUCUUGUACUCUUUCUCUCUUGCUGCUAUGCUCACCUUUACUAACACUUUAAAAAAACUCUUCAGAGACCUGCCUGAACAAAACCGACCUCGCCGAGUUGUGAUGGGCUUUUUUAUGGAAUUUUUCUCUGAUUGUUUUAUGCCGCAUCUUCCUCGCUCAUUUUUCGUUUUCACAAAGAAGCAAAGACAGCGCGCUGCUCUAGAUUAUGUUACCAAAUUCUGACGAUGUUGAGAAGUAUUAUCGAGACUGGAGAAUACUCACAUUUAUUCAUAAAUCAAGAAAACUAACACUUAUUUACCAUGGCUUCGUGGAGCCCCUUAGAGGUCGUUACAGCCCCUAUUGGUCCGCGGAAACCCUGGUCUAAAAGAUCACCAACUUAAGGCAACGGACAGCAUAAUCAUCUCUUUUCCAUCAUGUGGAAAGUUUAACCAGUUAGAAAAUAAAUAGUGAUACAUAAGAAAAUAGUGUCCAAAAAGUUUAUUCAAAAAUUUCUAAUAUAAAUCAUAAAUGUACUCAUAACAUGCAAAGAUGUAGCAAUCAAGGUCACAGGUCUAUUGAAUAUAUCAUAAUUUCACACUUCAGCAACGAUUCGAUCGUUUUACGCUAGUUUCAAAAUAAUUUUAAUCAAUCCCGAGAUCUCGGGAAAUUCUGUAAUUUGAAAAAUAAAGAUAAAAAAGAACCUGUGAAAUUCUACACUCAACCAAAGUAAUCUUCGAGGUUCAUCAAAAAGCUUUAUGGAUUUUUGGACGAUGAUUAGCACGUUUAAAAAGCGGGCAAGAAAUUACUAAAAUUGUAAGUCUAUUACCGAAAUACCUAUUAAAUGAUGAAAGUUUCAGCUGUACUUAACGAGCUGCUACAGAAAUUACGUUUUUUAUCAAAUCUCCGAACACUGAGCACGGGAAGAUAUGUAAAGAAUUUCAUAAUCAGAGUUUCUGGAGUGGUAUCAACCAUAACAACCUUCGAUAUUUAUCAGCAAAAAUUGAAUGAGAUGAUUUAUGACCGUUUCGUAGAACAAAUGGAAUCACUAUGCGUCGUCGUGGUCGUCAUUUUAUAACGAACCUACACCAACAUCUCGGAGCAGAAACCACCUGUUUUCCCGCAAUCUUACACCCACCCGGGCGCCCGCCAGCCGAUGCCAAUAGGGCCGACCGUCGUCGUCGUCAUCGUCAUCGUGGGUGUGAGAAUAUCUUGCAUGGAAGGAACCCCGACGACAUCAACAAAGCAGACCACAAGUUGGUACACACAUACCUACAUGGGUGCCUACAUUGCCAUUUCUUUGGGGAGCAUCAAGUUGAACGGGGUCCAACCAACCAGGCAACCAACGGUUAAAAGGCCCUUCCUUGGUACAGAAGCAGCAGGGAUAAGGACCUCACUCCCGGUUCUGACGACGGGAAAAAUGAGAAAAGGAAAUGAAAACGGACGUUCUCGCCGCCGUGCUAUGGGGUGGUCCCUGUCGUAUGGGACAAUUUAGCCGCUAUCGGAGAUGUUGUGGCACUAUGCACAGGCUAAGGAAGGAGAUGUUUCAUCGUUUGACAAGCAGAGAACCAUGGCGUAACGGUGGGAAGGUAUAAGGGAUGCGCAGCUUCUGAUGUUCAUUUAGGCCAAAUUUGGAAGUUUGACUGUAUUUUAUGUG